UAUCUCUGUAGAGUCUGCAUAUCAAUAAGCGGAGGAAAAGAAACUAACUAGGAUUCCCUCAGUAACGGCGAGUGAAGCGGGAAGAGCUCAAAUUUGAAGUCUUCAAGGUUCUACCUUGACGAAUUGUAGUUUAAAGAAGUGUUUUCUGUUGGAGUUUUGGUAAAAGUUCUUUGGAAUAGGACAUCAUAGAGGGUGAGAAUCCCGUAUUUGACCAUUAUUUCCAGCUGUGUGAUACACUUUCAAAGAGUCGGAUUGUUUGGGAAUGCAGUCCAAAAUGGGUGGUAAAUUUCAUCUAAAGCUAAAUACUGGCGAGAGACCGAUAGCGAACAGGUACCGUGAGGGAAAGAUGAAAAGAACUUUGAAAAGAGAGUUAAACAGUACGUGAAAUUGUCAAAAGGGAAGCGUUUGACACCAGUGUUGUUUUCUCGAAAAUCAAUUAAAAAUGGCGGGAUUUUGUGUUGUAUUGACUUUAUCAGCUUUCUGCACUUUUUUCUUGUCUUUUUUAAUGCACUUUUCGUUUAACAAGUCAACAUCAAUUUCUUUUGUUGUAAAAGGGUCAUUGGAAGGUGGCUUUCUUUUCGGAGAAAGUGUUUAUAGCCUUUGACUUCUGCAAUCGGAGAGAUUGAGGUCUGCAGCGUAGAUCCUUCGGGGUUAGAUACAUUUGUGCUAAGUUAUAGCCUUUCAUAGACAACUUGUUGACUAUGAUCAGUCAUGUAGCUUACUCGCUUAUGUUAUUUUACCUACGCUUAGGAUGUUGAUCUCUCACAGUCGAGC
rnacentral:rRNA from 1 species